GUCUCGGUAGUCUAAAGGCUUAGGACGCUCGCACGGAAUGCAAGAGAUCCGGGUUCGAUUCCCGGCCGAGGCA
rfam:Trachymyrmex zeteki contig14448, whole genome shotgun sequence.